rnacentral:lncRNA from 1 species
CCAAAGAUCCCCAGAUGCCUCUCUCAUACCCUUGGAGCGAAGGGAAACCUUGAGAGUGGGCGGAAAGAAGGUUAUCGCUUGGAGGGACACUGGGGCCCAAGUGUCAACUAUCCACCAAUCCCUAGUGGACCCCAAACUCAUCAACCCGGAGGCUACAGUGACAAUUCAACUCUUCGUGUCACAGUCUGUAACCUUGCCUACAGCCACGUUGCAUGUCCAGUACAAGGGCUGGUCAGGAAUGUGGACUUUUGCAGUCUGACAAUUAUCCCAUUCCCAUGCUGCUGGGGGAAGAUUUGGCCAACCAUGUGAAGCUAGCCAAGAGGGUGGGAAUAGUCACCCGCAGCCAGGCUAAGCAAGCUUUCACCCCCAUCCCUGUUCCUGAGCCAUCCACCAGGGCCCCGUCUGUGUUACCAGAGACCCAGACAAAGGUGGUGGAACCGGAUCCCCUGCCAACGACUGCAACAGCCGUAGUGGAUCCAAUCCCAGAGACCCAGCCAAAGCCAGUCCCAGAACCGGAACUGGCAACGCAACCAGCACCAGAACCAUUGCCAGCACUGAGUCCAGCGCUUGCAAACCCGUCUACAACUCCAACGCCAGAGGUCACCAGCGAGCCUGACCUGGAGGAAGCAGCAGAUAACCCUACCCAAGAGGCUCAGCCAGAGCCUAAGAUACCACAUAGUGCACCAGCGGACAGUGGAUCACAGUCAAUGGAAACAGCCCCAGCACCUGCAUCACUUCCAGAGGGACCAAGCCCCAGUCCACAGUCCAAGGAGGAACUGAUGUCUCCAGCAUCACGGGAACAGUUCCAGGCCGAGCAGGAAGCAGAUGACAGCCUUCAGAAAGCUUGGGCGGUGGCGCGGAGCACCCCACCGCCUCUCAGCUCUUCUAACCGAUCCCGGUUUGUUGUAGAACAAGGACUUCUAUACAAGGAGACUCUUUCUGGUGGGCACCAGGAAGACUGGCAUCCUCAAAGACAGUUGGUAGUUCCCACUAAAUAUCGGGUAAA